AUAGUGUCAUGCUUUAUCUGCUGCUUUUUAAAAAUCUGAUAUGUUUUGAUUUACAUAUCAAUUAGUGUUUUAUUUAUUUAAGGUUUAUGUUUCUAUUUUAUUUCUGGUUAGUGUGCUUGAUUUUUGCGGAAAUUCAACCUUGAAAUUGUCACGAGAAAAGGGGAAAAAAGCCAUAAAAUUUUGUUAUGACAUUGAAAUG